AGAGGAGGAUCUACACAAGUUUUUUACAUCAUGUUUUACAUCAUGCAUCAUUUACAUCAUGUUUUUUUGUAGUGGCAUAAAUAAAAAGUGACAUUUGUGAGACUAUACAGUGUUUUGUAAAUAAUUUUACAAAGAACGCCUGGGCCAUUGCCUGCAUUUUGAUGUAAAUAGAGGUAAAUCACUAUGUUCUUUGUUAAAAAUUUGCAUAUGUUUUGAAGUUUACAAUUUUUAUUUGAAGUUUAAGUUUUAAAAACAGUUCAUCACACAUAUUUGUGGUUUUCACAGUAAAAAUGUUACUUUUUUCCACUCGGAUUUUAUGUUUUGUGUGUGAAUUUGGGUCCAUUGUGUAAAUUCAGUAUGUCAACAUGAUAAAAUAACUGUAAAUUCGCACAGGUGAGGUUGUGCUGAAAAAAAUGAUACCAGGCAAGGCACGUGAUUGUCAAAUUUUGUGUCAAUAUGACAAAGCGUAUAGGCGUGAAUCUCAACAAUAUGUAUUUUCACCUUAGGGGACAAGAAAAAAUUGACUUUUUUCUCCUGCCAUGGGGGGGAGCUCUUUUGGGGAGUAAAAAUUCCUUCACAAAUGUGUUGAUGGCUGGACAUUGCAUCAUCCUAGAAAACUUGGAGGCCAGUGAGGACAAAAAUAAAAAGUUAUAAGACUUUUAAAUAUGUGGAUUUUAGGGUUAUCUUUGGCGCCCCCUAGAACCUAAACCGUGGGGUGCAGCGUCAUGAUUUUGAUAACUUUUAAUGGCCAUGGGGUGUAGAUUGGCCUGAGCAAAUGUGUUGCCGGUGGAACGAAAGCCUUAGGAGGAGUUAGCCACAUUCCAAUGUGUGCGGAUCGGCAAAAAAUGCGGAAUAACCCUUUAACCGUACAUUUGACAGAUACGCGCUCAUGGACUUUUUUGUAGAUCUUAUUGAGAUACAUGUGUGUGUCAAUUUUUGUGUCAUUUUGCCAAAGCGUAAAGGCGUGACACUCAACAAUGUGUAUUUUCACCUUAGGGGUCAAGAAAAAAAUGGACUUUUUUCUCCUGCCAUGGGGGGGCGCUCUUUUGGGGAGUAAAAAUUCCUUCACAGAUGUGUUGAUGGCUGGACAUUGCAUCAUCCUAGAAAACUUGGAGGCCAGUGAGGACAAAAAUAAAAAGUUAUAAGACUUUUAAAUAUGUGGAUUUUAGGGUUAUUUUUGGCGCCCCCUAGAACCUUAAACCGUGGGGUGCAGCGUCAUGAUUUGAAUAACUUUUAAUGGCCAUGGGGUGUAGAUUGGCCUGAGCAAAUGUGGUGCCGGUGGAACGAAAGCCUUCGGAGGAGUUAGCGAAAUUCCAAUGUGUGCAGAUCUGCAAAAAAUGCAAAAUAACCCAUUAACCGUACAUUUGACAGAUACGCCCGCACUGACUUUUUUGUAGAUCUUAUUGAGAUACAUGUGUGUGUCAAUUUUUGUGUCAAUAUGACAAAGCGUACAGCCGUCAUGUGAAUUUUCACCUUAGGGGGCGCUAUGGAGCCAUUUUGCAUUUUAUUGUUU